GAUAUUUUUGAAGUCAAGUUUAAAUCUCUAUCAUGCAUUUUAAUUAGAGUGUAAAUAUUAUACUGGCAAGAUUUUCCUGACCAAAAAAUAAGUUAUUCAACUACCGGAUAAGACUUAUCAUUACAAGUUGGUUUUUAUUCUUUUCCACUCUUUCUGUCCCAUGGAAGGGCAUGCAUUUCUCAUUUUGUUUUGUCUAGGAAGCAUCAAAAAUAUACAUAUUAUUAAAGUGAUUAUUUCAUUUAAUAAUCACAAACUCAUGAAUCCUUAUUUUGACAUUAAUUAUUUUUGUGAUUUCUGGAUAUGUGUGAACAAGGACUUAUGCCUGAAUUCAAAGUUAGAUUAUGGAUUUGGUUUGUACAUAAUCCUGGGACCCAGUUCAUGUCAAAAAGAAUCACUCAGUGUACCUCAUUUGUUCUGGUGAUAAGAUUUGUCUUGAAUUUUUAUAUACAGAAACUUUUUUUAAAAAUAUAUAUACCUGAGUUUAAUUUGGCAUCAUGACUUUGUACUUAUUUCAUAAAUGGCCAUACUUCGUAGAAAAUAAAGGACAUAUUAUGGUUGGAAUUAAUUCUUUAAACUACACAAAGCAUAUAAAUUCAUGUUUUUAAAGUAGAAUGAAUUAUACAAUAGAAGGUUGCAUCCUUAUAUGGCUUUGAAUUAGAAAAGCACAGCAGAAUUUAACAUUCAUAGACCCUUUAUUGAUAAAAUUUUAAAUGCUAAAUCUAUUGAUGUAUUUAGUUAGUAACUGGUAGUUAGUAAUAAUUAAUGUAUAAGAAUGUGUGAAUCUAGUGACUGAGAAAAGUGUAUCAUUAUUUAAAUCAGCUUUAUCCGUAGGCAAAGAAAAUAAUAGAGAACAAAUAUGCCCCAUUAAGCACAUUCUCUCCUUCUUUCUCCUCUUACUAGGAUCAAUAGCUGGCAUUAGUAUGACUAAAGCAUUACAGCUGUCUUAUUCUGACAGCUUUACAAGAUGCUAUGUGUAAGUGUGAUAAAAUCUAGAGAAUUCUCAAAAGUUAGAAAAACUAGAGCAUGAAAAGCAUCAUAAAUGUUUUUAUAUUUAAGUAGCUAAAAGGAGGUGCUUUUUCAAAUAAAUUGGCUGAAUAUUUAGAAAUACUUUGGUUAAACAAAGUGUAAAAAUAAAUAAUUUACUAGAUUCAGCUUUAGAAUACCAUUAAUUGUUUACAGCUUUGUAGAACAUUGAUAGUAUAUUUGUCUUUGUUUCAAUUCCUCCUUUAAGAAUAACUCGCAAGCUGUAAUCAAAUGUUUAAUCUGUUGAGAAAAACUGAGUCUCUGAUACCAUUUAAUGACUACAUUAGUUACACCGUUUUAAAAAUUUUAUAUGCAAACUGAAAUAGGUGGCUGAUCAGGUAUAAGCGAAAAACUGUAGGAAAAAAAGUGUUUGCUUUGAAUUUCCUGUUUGCUUGCAAAAAAUUGAAUUCUGAUUAAUCAGAGACAUCUGUCUUUACUCUGUUGGUGACAUGCAUUGAUUUGUGAUGCUGUCUCUUUCAGUAACCUAGGAGCAGUUGCCUUUAUUAGGAUCACCAGCAGAAAUAAAUGUGGAAGCUAACUUCCUUCUAAACCUCCAAUUUGAAUUUAAUCUAUCAAUUCACGAGUCUGUGAUGCUGGUUCAAAGGGAGAGUAAGGAACAAAUGCAAAUUAAAUUUGGCAUAUAAAACAUAAUGUUGGGGGUUUUAGGAAGCUCUUGGUUACUUACUUUGAAGGUGAAUACAACACAAUAUUUGUACAAAGACUAUUUUAAAUGUAUUUUUGCAGAUUAUAAUGACAUAAAUAAUGAUGCCACGUUGGGCUUAUAUAAUGCCAUUUUCAACAACAAUUGUUUCCCAUACAUGGUUUUGCGAGGUAGUCCGAUUGCUGCAUUGAAAUUUAAGGUCUUUGUUUUGUUUUGUUUUCUUAUAUUGUCCCUAAUUAGUGAUUAAACCUGUUGUGAAUGUGAAA